GACGAACGCUGGCGGCGUGCUUAACACAUGCAAGUCGAACGAAGAGCGAUGGAAGCUUGCUUCUAUCAAUCUUAGUGGCGAACGGGUGAGUAACGCGUAAUCAACCUGCCCUUCAGAGGGGGACAACAGUUGGAAACGACUGCUAAUACCGCAUACGAUCCAAUCUCGGCAUCGGGACUGGAUGAAAGGUGGCCUCUAUUUAUAAGCUAUCACUGAAGGAGGGGAUUGCGUCUGAUUAGCUAGUUGGAGGGGUAACGGCCCACCAAGGCGAUGAUCAGUAGCCGGUCUGAGAGGAGGAACGGCCACAUUGGGACUGAGACACGGCCCAGACUCCUACGGGAGGCAGCAGUGGGGAAUCUUCCGCAAUGGACGAAAGUCUGACGGAGCAACGCCGCGUGAGUGAUGACGGCCGUCGGGUUGUAAAGCUCUGUUAAUCGGGACGAAUGGUUCUUGUGCGAAUAGUGCGAGGAUUUGACGGUACCGGAAUAGAAAGCCACGGCUAACUACGUG
rnacentral:rRNA from 1 species